GUUUCGUGAUCUAAAGGGAGCGUUCUGCUCUACAAUGCAUGUCAGACUGAGCCAUCAGCCGUCCCUCCCUAUGGUCACUCUGCUCUGAGCCUCCGUCUCGUCCUGCCUGGACCACAGGAGCCUGGUGCACCAACUCCCUGCCGGUGGCUGACGGGGUCCCACGUGACAGGGGUCCUCCCCGACCCUCCCCCAUUGCCCCCUUCCCCCAACACCGGGGACACCGUGGCUGCCUCCACCCCUGGAGCCCAAGCCUUCCAGCAAGGUCCCUCCUCCUGGACACUUCAUCCUUCUCAGAAAAGGAACCCCAGCAAGACCAAGCCCCAAAUGGAGCAACACCCCAUCAAUGGAACCCAGGCCUGCUGAACUGAAAAUGAAAAGUAAACAGAGAUGCUACACAGAGGACUGAUGACACGCUGCUGGGAUGUCGUGGGCGGGAAGACUCUGUGGUUUACAACAGAGCUCCUGGGACACGGCCUCUGGGAGAGGGGCAGGUGCCACACAUCUACUGUCCAUACACCUGUCUGGUACUUGGUAAUCCCCAAAAAAUCAACUUUAUUACCAAAGACUUAAAGUAGAAAAGAGCACCAACUUACUUAAAUUCUUCUUGUUUCUGUUUCUUGUAGUCUUGUCUGUAUUUCGUAAAGGCAUCAAAUAAAUGAUAAAUAAUUUCUGCACUAAAAA